UACGUAGGGCGCAAGCGUUAUCCGGAAUUAUUGGGCGUAAAGAGCCCGUAGGCGGUUUGUCGCGUCUGCCGUGAAAGUCCGGGGCUCAACUCCGGAUCUGCGGUGGGUACGGGCAGACUAGAGUGAUGUAGGGGAGACUGGAAUUCCUGGUGUAGCGGUGAAAUGCGCAGAUAUCAGGAGGAACACCGAUGGCGAAGGCAGGUCUCUGGGCAUUAACUGACGCUGAGGAGCGAAAGCAUGGGGAGCGAACAGG
rnacentral:rRNA from 1 species